CGGAGCCUCAAAUGAGUUUGGUGUCUUCCUCUCUUCCAUUACCUGUGCCCCGUAAAUAUCCCAGCUUGUUGCAAGCCCCACCAUCGAGCUAUGCCAUCUGCUGCCCCUCAUUGCGACAAUAAUCCUCUUACUCUGAUUCUCUCUCCCUUUUAUUCUCCUUCAUUCAUUUCAGGUUUUAACAUAUAAUCACCUUAGCUAACACUUGAAUAGUGUUUCCUACCUGCCAGGCACUCUUCUAAGUGCUUUCUGUGUAUUAACUUAUCUUCACAGCAACCUUCUAAGGAGCUCCAACGUCUGAGGUCAGGAGAAGAUGGAUGUCCCAGCUCAAGAAGAAAAAAAUUGCUCUUCCUUCAUUUUUUGUGUUCAGUUUGGGACCUCAACAGAUUAGAUGACGCCCACCCGUGUUGGUGAACAUGAUUUU
rnacentral:lncRNA from 1 species